CACAGAAACCCCUUCGUUUGGUCCCAGCGCUCGGGACGCUCCAUUAAUCUGUCUCCUGAUCAGACUGGAGCUUUUCUGGCUUUUUUCAAUGGACGUGGUGCUUUUGCGCGCUCCUCACUGACAGUUAUUCCUGGGCUGAUUGUUCAGUGUUUUCCAUUGUCAGAGUAACCCUGCAGUGCAUCAUCCUCCCUGCAGAGCACCAUGCACCAUCUUCCUACCAGAGACUCGCAGAACAUCAUGCAUCAUCUUCCCUGCAGAGCUGCAUCUCUUCUUCCACAGAGCUGUGGAGCACCAUGUACCCAAGUCUGCAACCAUCACCAUCACACAGCACCCUGCAAACCAUCACUGCUACUGCAUUUAUGCAUCCUGCAAUUGUUCAUUACAUAACCAUCUUUAUUUCACAGCCAUGCCUCAAUGUAACCCCAUUGUCUGAGCAUUUAACCUUAUUAUAUUUUCGUAGGGUUAUUCCGUUAAGCAUGUUUUGGGCGUUUCUUUUACUGCUCAUUUAGGGAGUGACUUGUGAAGCAUUGGGUUUUCUGAUCAAAGUUAGGGAAAAAAAACAAAAUCUUGUGGGUAAGGUGGGGCAACUCAAAAACAUCUGGGUAAAACUUUUUGUUUUAAUUGCUCAAACAGUUGUGUCCCAGUUGAAUUAAAUGGGGACUUUUUAGAAACCUAAAUCAAGGGCAAACCAUAUUUACUCACACUACCAUUGUGUUAUUUAAUGGACUUGACUGGGUCCACGAUUCUAGGUUGCCCAAAUUUGGUGUGUGAUAUCUUCUCGAUAAAAAAAUGCAACAACUCUGAUCCAUUGGUCCCAUCUUCAAACUUAAAAAAAACAAAAACAAUUCCAAGUAUAGAUAGCUUGUAGGUCACUUCCAUAACUUGGUAACAACUUGGUGCUUGGUAUCAUCAUACCUUUUGUACAAGAAAGUUUUCCAGUUACACCACUUAUAUAAAAUUGGAAACCUUUUAUUUGGUCAAUAAUGAAUAGAACCUAAUGUGUUAAUUGUCAGGUAUGUGAGCAAUGCAUUCACAUCUUGCCGAC